CUACCAUGGCUAUCACGGGUGACGGAGAAUUAGGGUUCGGUUCCGGAGAGGGAGCCUGAGAAAUGGCUACCACAUCUAAGGAUGGCAGCAGGCGCGAAAAUUGCCCAAUCCCGAUUCGGGGAGGCGGUGACAAGAAAUAACAACCCAGGGCUUAUGCUCAGGGAUUGUAAUGAGAAAAAUCUAAAAAACUUAUCGAGUAUCAACUGGAGGGCAAGUUCUGGUGCCAGCAUCCGCGGUAAUUCCAGCUCCAGUAGCGUAUAUUAAAAUUGCUGCAGUUAAAAAGCUCGUAGUUGAAAUUCUGCUCGGCAGAACGAAUUCCGUACGGCUUUCGUCUCUCCGAGCAUCAGUCUGCAAUCAUUUUCACGGCAUUCACUUGUCGGGAUUGGGAGCAGACGUUUUACCUUGAGAAAAUUAGAGUGUUCCAAGCAGGCUUCAGCCCGAAUACAAUUAGCAUGGAAUAAUAGAACAUGACUGAAGUCUAUUUAUUGGUUAAAGGCUUUAGUAAUGAUUAAUAGGAACAGUCGGGGGCAUUCGUACUCAGCAGUCAGAGGUGAAAUUCUAAGAUUUGCUGAAGACGAACUAAUGCGAAAGCAUUUGCCAAGGAUGUUUUCAUUAAUCAAGAACGAAAGUUAGGGGAUC
rnacentral:rRNA from 1 species